GAUGAAGAACGCAGCGAAAUGCGAUAAGUAGUGUGAAUUGCAGAAUUCAGUGAAUCAUCGAAUCUUUGAACGCACAUUGCGCCCGCCAGCACUCUGGCGGGCAUGCCUGUUCGAGCGUCAUUUCAACCAUCAAGCCCCCAGGGGCUUGUGCUGGGGCCCUGCGGCUGGCCGCAGGCCCUGAAAACCAGUGGCGGGCUCGCUAGUCACACCGAGCGCAGUAGCACAUCUCGCUCAGGGCGUGCGGCGGGCUCCUGCCGUGAAACCCCCCACUGUAACCCCAAAGGUUGACCUCGGAUCAGGUAGGAAUACCCGCUGAACUUAAGCAUAUCAAUAAGCGGAGGA
rnacentral:misc_RNA from 1 species